AGUGACCCACCAAUGUUGUCCUACAGGGAAGAGCGUUAAACCACCAUAAGGUGCUUUGGUUAAGAGCUAAGGUAUUGAGCGUUAUGGAAAAGGCUACGUCAAGAACUAGUCAGGU
rnacentral:ncRNA from 2 species